UACGUAGGGGGCAAGCGUUGUCCGGAAUCAUUGGGAGUAAAGAGCGUGUAGGCGGCUCGAUAAGUCUGCUGUGAAAGUCCAGGGCUCAACCCUGGAAGGCCGGUGGAAACUGUCGGGCUAGAGUCCGGAAGAGGCGAGUGGAAUUCCCGGUGUAGCGGUGAAAUGCGCAGAUAUCGGGAGGAACACCAAUGGCGAAGGCAGCUCGCUGGGACGGUACUGACGCUGAGACGCGAAAGCGUGGGGAGCAAACAGG
rnacentral:rRNA from 1 species